rnacentral:pre_miRNA from 1 species
ACAACAUUAUGACCGUCGGUCUACCGAGCAAUAUCACCCGCUCGGUGGAAGAUCAUCCCUUUGUUGU